rnacentral:tRNA from 1 species
GGAGGAAUGCCCGAGUGGUUAAAGGGGGCAGACUGUAAAUCUGUUGGUCAAUCCUACGUUGGUUCAAAUCCAACUUCCUCCACCA